CCCAAAGACCAAAUGUCUGAUUUGAAACCAUAAGGAAUAUCUGCAAGGAGUUCAGGACACAUAUAAUUGGGAGUUCCAACCACCUGCGCAUAUGGUUACAAAACAACUUUUAGUCUCAAGAUGGUGAAGCAAUUAACAAUCAUCUCUUACUAUAGGGAAUUACUAUAUCAUCGAUUCCUUGCAAAAAUUGUGUUUAACUGCUGCUUCUUGUCUAAACAAUUUGUUUAUGUGUAGAUCACCAUAUCUUUCCUGAUGUUGCAUAGAACACAUUGUAUUAAGUAUUACUGGACUCACUCAUCAAUUCUAGUUAGUAUUAACAUAUAAAUUGAUACAGUAAAUGGAAUGUGACAUUUUCUUUAUUGUUAAUGCUGUGCAACAGAAUGACAUUAGAUUAAAAUAUGUAAGGGGUUCUUGGAGUUCAAUCAUUGCUUGAAAUUUCCAUGCAUUCUCAACCAUCAUGAUAACCUAAUGGGAUUUGCUUGCCUUUCAUUUACAGAGUUUUUAUGCACUGAAAUAGUUUGCAAAGCCA
rnacentral:misc_RNA from 1 species